GGCUCAGGACGAACGCUGGCGGCGUGCUUAACACAUGCAAGUCGAACGAUGAAGCCCUUCGGGGUGGAUUAGUGGCGAACGGGUGAGUAACACGUGGGCAAUCUGCCCUUCACUCUGGGACAAGCCCUGGAAACGGGGUCUAAUACCGGAUAACACUCUGUCCCGCAUGGGACGGGGUUAAAAGCUCCGGCGGUGAAGGAUGAGCCCGCGGCCUAUCAGCUUGUUGGUGGGGUGAUGGCCUACCAAGGCGACGACGGGUAGCCGGCCUGAGAGGGCGACCGGCCACACUGGGACUGAGACACGGCCCAGAUCUCUUACGGGAGGCAGCAGUGGGGAAUAUUGCACAAUGGGCGAAAGCCUGAUGCAGCGACGCCGCGUGAGGGAUGACGGCCUUCGGGUUGUAAACCUCUCUCAGGCAGGGAAGAAGCGAAAGUG
rnacentral:rRNA from 1 species